UGGUGCAUUACCAUUCUGGAGGGCUUUGACUUAAUCCGAACUUGUAUAAUUGUGGAAAAGUCUGCCUCAUUGGUUUUAUAAACUACCAUGAGGGCUCUUCAUCUCCAGUCGCUGGUCCACUGCUUCUCUGGUUUUAUAAAAAGGAAGUGGGGAUGGACAUUCGUGGAUUUGCCGUCCCUGAUUUGCUUUGUGGAGGACACAUGCCCAUGAUUCAUAAUGAUUUGCGGCAGUCUUAGAAGAAAAUUUCCCAUUGCUUUCAUCCCCUUUUGAGUGUCAAUUGCAAAGUUCAUCCGUUGGUGAAAGGAAACUGUACUCUUCUUUGUUUUAGUGCUCUGUCUCCCUACUUCUAUGACAGAAUGGUGUGGCUUUGUGUACAGUAAAUGUUCUCUACUCUUGCAUCCCAUGCAUUACUAUUGACAUGGUUUGUCUAC